UUAAAGAGUUCUAUAACUCCCAAACCCAUGUGAACAUACCUAACGUUGCCUCGGCAGGUCGCACCUACCUUGUAGCACCCUACCCUGUAGGGCCUACCCGGGAGGUGCGGGUAAGCCUGCCGGCGGCCCACCAAACUCUGUUUGAUAUUGAAUUCUGAACCUAUAACUAAAUAAGUUAAAACUUUCAACAACGGAUCUCUUGGUUCUGGCAUCGAUGAAGAACGCAGCGAAAUGCGAUAAGUAAUGUGAAUUGCAGAAUUCAGUGAAUCAUCGAAUCUUUGAACGCAUAUUGCGCCCAUUAGUAUUCUAGUGGGCAGGACCGUUCGAGCGUCAUUUCAACCCUUAAGCCUUCGUUGCUUAGUGUUGGGAGCCUACGGCAACGUAGCUCCUCAAAGUUAGUGGCGGAGUUGGUUCACACUCUAGACGUAGUAAUUUUUUAUCUCGCCUAUUAGUUGGACUAAUCCCCUGCCGUAAAACCCCUAAUUUAUCAAGGUUGACCUCGAAUCGGUUCAGACAAACUCGCUAAAUUGAAGCAUCUUAGUCAGCGAAGGAAAAGAAACCAACAGGGAUUGCCCUAGUAACGGCGAGUGAAGCGGC
rnacentral:rRNA from 1 species